GCCAGUAGCCUGGCGGCCAAGGCGCCAGUAGUAUGAGAAGGAAGGACUGAGAGAGUGUCAGUGUCUGGAGGGCGGCCGUGUGCUGCUGGUGCUUUAUUUAAUAUGGAUAUACGGUGACACGGGCCUGCCUGCCUGUGUGUGCUGGUGCAAGCUUGGUGCCUGGGUGGGAGGGCCAGGGGUUGCUGCUGGGACGGCCAACAACACUGUAAUAUUGGAUAUAGAAAAUGGGAAGUAUAGGACAUAGAAAACGACAGUUACUUCAAGUGGCCACCGCCCUCGCUACUGGCUUCCUUGUGGGCGUGGCACUGUCCCCGCCCACGCCUACACACGCCCAUCUCACUCUCCGUACCUCCUGACACGCCCCGCCCCGCCAGCAGCCCCGCAGUGAGCCCGGCCACCACCACCACUACUACCAGCACCAGCACUGCCACCUCCACCAC